UACAGAGGUCUCAAGCGUUGUUCGGAUUCAUUGGGCGUAAAGGGUGCGUAGGUGGCGCGGUAAGUCGGGUGUGAAAUUUCGGAGCUUAACUCCGAAAUCUGCAUUCGAUACUGCCGUGCUUGAGGACUGGAGAGGAGACUGGAAUUUACGGUGUAGCAGUGAAAUGCGUAGAGAUCGUAAGGAAGACCAGUGGCGAAGGCGGGUCUCUGGACAGUUCCUGACACUGAGGCACGAAGGCCAGGGGAGCAAACGGG
rnacentral:rRNA from 1 species